GGCUGUAGCUCAGGGGUAAAGUGCUUGCCUCGCAUGCGUGAGGCACUGGGUUCUAUUCUCAGCACCA
rnacentral:tRNA from 1 species